UACAGAGGUCUCAAGCGUUGUUCGGAUUCAUUGGGCGUAAAGGGCGCGUAGGCGGCAAGGCAAGUCGGGUGUGAAAGCUUGGGGCUUAACCCCGAAAAGGCACUCGAAACUGCGUUGCUAGAGGGCCGGAGAGGAGAUCGGAAUUCACGGUGUAGCAGUGAAAUGCGUAGAGCUCGUGAGGAAGACCGGUGGCGAAGGCGGAUCUCUGGACGGCCCCUGACGCUGAGGCGCGAAGGCUAGGGGAGCAAACGGG
rnacentral:rRNA from 1 species